rnacentral:rRNA from 1 species
AUUGAACGCUGGCGGCGGGCCUAACACAUGCAAGUCGAACGGGUGGCGGACGGGUGAGUAAUGUCUGGGAAACUGCCUGAUGGAGGGGGAUAACUACUGGAAACGGUAGAUAAUACCGCAUACCAUCAGAUGUGGUCAGAUGGGAGUAGCUUGUUGGUGGGGUAACGGCUCACCAAGGCGACGAUCCCUAGAUGGUCUGAGAGGAUGACCAGCCACACUGGAACUGAGACACGGUCCAGACUCCUACGGGAGGCAGCAGUAGGGAAUCUUGCACAAUGGGCGAAAGCCUGAUGCAGCAAUGCCGCGUGUAUGAAGAAGGCCUUCGGGUUGUAAAAUUCUGUGAUCGGGGAGGCGUUACCCACAGAGAAAGCACCGGCUAACUCCGUGCCAGCAGCCGCGGUAAUAC